GGUUACUGCUAUCGGUGUUCGCCUAAGCCAUGCGAGUCAUAUGUUCGUAAGAACAUGGCGUACUGCUCAGUAACACGAGGAUAACCUGCCCUUGGGUCCGGCAUAACCCCGGGAAACUGGGGAUAAUUCCGGAUAACGCACAUAUGCUGGAAUGCUUUAUGCGUAAAAUGGAUUCGUCUGCCCAAGGAUGGGUCUGCGGCCUAUCAGGUAGUAGUGGGUGUAAUGUACCUACUAGCCUACGACGGGUACGGGUUGUGAGAGCAAGAGCCCGGAGAUGGAUUCUGAGACAUGAAUCCAGGCCCUACGGGGCGCAGCAGGCGCGAAAACUUUACAAUGCGGGAAACCGUGAUAAGGGGACACCGAGUGCCAGCAUCCUAUGCUGGCUGUCCGGGUGUGUAAAAUACACCUGUUAGCAAGGGCCGGGCGAGACCGGUGCCAGCCGCCGCGGUAACACCGGCGGCCCGAGUGGUGAUCGUGAUUAUUGGGUCUAAAGGGUCCGUAGCCGGUUUGGUCAGUCCUCCGGGAAAUCUGACAGCUUGACUGUUAGGCUUUCGGAGGAUACUGCCAGACUUGGAACCGGGAGAGGUAAGAGGUACUACAGGGGUAGGAGUGAAAUCUUGUAAUCCCUGUGGGACCACCUGUGGCGAAGGCGUCUUACCAGAACGGGUUCGACGGUGAGGGACGAAAGCUGGGGGCACGAACCGGAUUAGAUACCCGGGUAGUCCCAGCCGUAAACGAUGCUCGCUAGGUGUCAGGCAUGGCGCGACCGUGUCUGGUGCCGCAGGGAAGCCGUGAAGCGAGCCACCUGGGAAGUACGGCCGCAAGGCUGAAACUUAA
rnacentral:rRNA from 1 species